UCUGAUAUUACUUAAGGCACAGUUUUCGGAUGUGGACGUAACUUUGUCCUUAUAAAAGGCUGUGUAAGGAGGGUCAGCUACCAAGGCUUGUAAUUCCCCCACUCUUCUCUUUCAUGGACAGAUUAAGUAAAGAGCAGGUUGCCAUCGGUUCAAAGCGUUGACCCAUCUACUUUGUUAACACCAGAUUUGAACCCUAGGGAUAUAACCACCUAGGGAUAUAACCUGUCCAGACCCUUUAAGAACACUGGCCAGUGAUUGGAAAGUGGAAACUGGAGAUAGCUCCCAGGUAAACCAGGAUGGUACUAAUGGAUAGGCCUUGUUGUUUCAGGCAGAACAAGUAAUCCAAGACAUGGUGGGAAGAGGCCCAGACUGGAAAACAUCUUUCUGCUAUAACCGCCCAGGUCGUGGCAGGUAAAACGCACCAGAUCAAGGCUCCUUUGUAGUUGUUCCCGGGACCUGCCCUUGAUGAGCCAGUCAUCGAGAUGUGGGAAGACCUGGACUCCUUGACAUCUCAGGGAAUGAAGUGUAAAUUCCUAAUGAUUUCAACGUUGCCCUGGAAUCUCUGAGACUGCGAAGCUUUUCAUCAAUCUACUGAGAGAAGAGGAUUCUCACAAGUGAGAUUCUUUAUAAUCUGUUGGAUUUCCUACGACAGACCCAAGGACUGAAACCAUGAAAACCUGCACAUCGUUAUUACAGUUGCCAUGGCUCUGGCUCAGAAUCCACUCCAUCUAAUCCAGCUUGGAGGGAGGUCCUGGCCAGGAGUUUGCUCUUUUCCAAGAUGGACUGGAAUUUCUGCCUGGCAUCCUCUGGUAACUUGUCCGUGAACUUCAGAACAUUGUCCCACAGGGAGAAUCAGCAAGGCCUAACGGUUACAGAUACAAAACUGCAGGCCAGCCGUGGAAUAAA